rnacentral:tRNA from 1 species
AAGACGCUAGUAAAACUAUUACCCUGCCUUGUCAAGGCAGAAUUGUGGGUUAAACCCCCGCGCAUCUUA